rnacentral:lncRNA from 1 species
UUUUGAAAACACCAAAGAUCAAAUAUCAUUUUUCUUUUAGAAAACGACGUCGUUACUGUGGUUUAAUGGGCAAGGGAACAUCAUGUGAUUCCAAGAAAUUUUCUUUCAUCAUCAUCAUUGUAUGCGAAUAUAGAUUUUUUGUUUUGGAGGCUACCAAAGAACCUUCCUUCCUUUUUAUUUUCACUAGAAAUAAGAUUUAAUUGAUAGAAUUCUCAGGUGGAUUACAAGGGGUGGUUUACAAAGGCCGACAAGGGUAAACAACCCUUCCAGAAACUAAGCCGGCAUGUAAACGAAAACUUCCGGAGACAAAGAUGAAGAAACAAAGGGGAAAGACCCAGAACAAACAAAUACAUAAAAUCUGAUCCAACACUUCCCGAACUCAUAACCCAAAUAUUCAAAAAUAAACGGUGAGACCAAGACUCUCCUUACCACGAAUGGCGGUGAGACAAAUCCAACACCCCGAGACCCAAAGGAAUCAAAGCCUCAUGAAGAAAGGAAGGAUAUCGAGAUCUUCGAAGGUGAGAAAUCUGUAUCUGAGGCAGCGAAAGAUGGAUUAGAGCCAGCUUCUGCCAUGGUUGGAAGUUGGAAUGGCCAGAACUGAAGCUGCAAAUGAAAGAGGCAUAACAAGCAGCGGAACCUAAAGAUUUAGACUUUAAAGAGGCAUAACAAGCAGCUGAAAAUCUAGAUCCAAAACUGUUGGAAAAAAUAGAAUGCAGAUCUGCCGGAAAAGAAGAGCAAACGAAACUAAAACAUGGAGAAAACAAAGACCCCGACUCUGAUGCUUAAAAAGCCAUCAGAACCGGUAACCCUAGGCGACGGCUUCAGCUUUUUUUUU